UUCCGGUUGAUCCUGCCGGACCCGACUGCUAUCAGAGUGGGACUGAGCCAUGCGAGUCAACAUAGCAAUAUGUGGCAUACGGCUCAGUAACACGUAGUCAACAUGCCCAGGGGACGUGGAUAGCCUCGGGAAACUGAGGAUAAACCGCGAUAGGUCAUCACUUCUGGAAUGGGUAAUGACUUAAAUCUAUAUGGCCCCUGGAUUGGACUGCGGCCGAUCAGGCUGUUGGUGAGGUAAUGGCCCACCAAACCUGUAACCGGUACGGGCUCUGAGAGGAGGAGCCCGGAGAUGGGCACUGAGACAAGGGCCCAGGCCCUAUGGGGCGCAGCAGGCGCGAAACCUCUGCAAUAGGCGAAAGCUUGACAGGGUUACUCUGAGUGAUUUCCGUUAAGGAGAUCUUUUGGCACCUCUAAAAAUGGUGCAGAAUAAGGGGUGGGCAAGUCUGGUGUCAGCCGCCGCGGUAAUACCAGCACCCCGAGUGGUCGGGACGUUUAUUGGGCCUAAAGCAUCCGUAGCCGGUUCUACAAGUCUUCCGUUAAAUCCACCUGCUUAACAGAUGGGCUGCGGAAGAUACUAUAGAGCUAGGAGGCGGGAGAGGCAAGCGGUACUCGAUGGGUAGGGGUAAAAUCCGUUGAUCCAUUGAAGACCACCAGUGGCGAAGGCGGCUUGCCAGAACGCGCUCGACGGUGAGGGAUGAAAGCUGGGGGAGCAAACCGGAUUAGAUACCCGGGUAGUCCCAGCUGUAAACGAUGCAGACUCGGUGAUGAGUUGGCUUAUUGCUAACUCAGUGCCGCAGGGAAGCCGUUAAGUUUGCCGCCUGGGGAGUACGGUCGCAAGACUGAAACUUAAAGGAAUUGGCGGGGGAGCACCACAAGGGGUGAAGCCUGCGGUUCAAUUGGAUUCAACGCCGGG
rnacentral:rRNA from 1 species